UCCCCUGGCUGGGCAGACCCUGGCAGGAGGGGGCACAGGGUCCAGCCCUGGUAUGAGCCUGUCCCGGGGCAUGAGGCUCUGGGGACCUGGGGACCUGUUUUGGUCCCUCUUGUGACCCAGAGGUGUCCUGGAGCCUGCAGUGUUCCCCAAACUGUGGCACAGGCGCCCCAGCGUGCACAGCAGUGACACAGGCAGUGUCCCUGAGUCCCCCAAGCCCAGCCAGCUCCAGUGUCCCGUGACCCAAAGAUGAAAAUGAGUCUCCAGCUCUUUAUGGCUACACCUGAAGAGCAUCAGGCACCCAGGAACAGACCCUGCAGCUCCAGAGCUGUCUCAGUCACCCCAGGUUAAUGCUACCUGGCGGGAUGCCGCUGACAGCAACACAAUUGCUCCUGUCUCUCUUGCUUGCAGCACUGGCAGUUCCAGAAAAAAUGUCCUAAUUUCAGAGAAGGAAAUCUGUCUCACUCUUCAUGUUAAUGCAGCGGGCUCCAUCUGGGGCACAGCUUAUGGCAGGCAAGAAAGGAGAAUUAAGCACCACAUCCCACGGCAUGAAGUGGUAUGGAUUUUAAAGCAGAAGGUUUGCUUGGAUGCUGGAAUUCCUGUCAAGAGCCCCAUUUGCUAAAUAAUGCCCAGACCUCUAUCACAUAACAGCUUGUUCCUGGCAAUCCAGUUCUUGGCCCUGGAUUCAGCCUAUCCUUAACUUAAUA